rnacentral:lncRNA from 1 species
AAGCAGAAGUCACUGUGCACAAAGUAGCAUAUCUUUGACAUUUGUCUAUACGGAUUACUACACCUUUCCUCAAGGUAUCUGCUUAAGACUGCUUUUAUAAUCCAACGAAGCAAUACGGAUACUAUCGUAUCCCAUACCAUUACUAUUGAAUUGCCGUAACCGUUUUUGACUUCAUAGUGUAUUAUUGCUACCAAUUUGGUGGUAUGACGGG